rnacentral:rRNA from 1 species
UUAAGAUGUUAAGGGCAUACGGUGGAUGCCUUGGCGUCAGGAGGCGAAGAAGGACGUGGAAGGCUGCGAUAAGCCUCGGGGAGCCGUCAAGCAGGCUUUGAUCCGGGGAUUUCCGAAUGGGGCAACCCGGCCAGAGUAAUGUCUGGUCAUCCUUUGACUGAAUACAUAGGUCUUAGGAAGCGAACUCGGGGAAGUGAAACAUCUCAGUACCCGAAGGAAGAGAAAUCAAGAGAGAUUCCGUAAGUAGCGGCGAGCGAACGCGGAAGAGCCUAAACCGUUUGUCUACGGGCAAGCGGGGUUGUAGGGCUCCAAUACGUGAUCCAUGAGUAGAUAGCAGAACGGUCUGGAAAGUCCGGCCAUAGCGAGUGACAGCCUCGUAUGCGAAAUCGAAUAGUGGCACAUGGAGUACCUGAGUAGGGCGGGACACGCGAAAUCCCGUUUGAAUCUGGGAGGACCAUCUUCCAAGGCUAAAUACUCCCUGACGACCGAUAGUGUACCAGUACCGUGAGGGAAAGGUGAAAAGAACCCCUGUUAGGGGAGUGCAAUAGAACCUGAAACCAGUUGCCUACAAGCUGUGGGAGCGGACUUGUUCCGUGACCGCGUGCUUUUUGCAUAACGGGCCAGCGAGUUAAUCUGUAGUGCGAGGUUAAGCGUGAGCGGAGCCGUAGCGAAAGCGAGUCCGAAUAGGGCGAUUAGUACUGCGGAUUAGACCCGAAGCCGGGUGAUCUAUCCAUGGGCAGGUUGAAGCUCAGGUAAAACUGAGUGGAGGACCGAACCGAUGUAAGUUGAAAAUUGCUCGGAUGACCUGUGGAUAGGGGUGAAAGGCCAAUCAAACCCGGUGAUAGCUGGUUCUCCCCGAAAUAUAUUGAGGUAUAGCCUCGGAUUAGUUUCACGGAGGUAGAGCACUGACAGGGCUAGGGGUCCCACCAGAUUACCAAACCCUAUCAAACUCCGAAUGCCGUGAAAUGAUGUCCGGGAGUCAGACUGCGGGUGCGAAGGCCCGUAGUCGAGAGGGAAAGAGCCCAGAUCGACAGCUAAGGUCUCAAAGUCCAUGCUCAGUGGGAAAGGUAGUGACGCUGCCUAGACAUCCAGGAGGUUGGCUUAGAAGCAGCCAUCCUUUAAAGAAAGCGUAAUAGCUCACUGGCCUAGCGGUGUUGCGCCGAAAAUGUAACGGGGCUAAGCAUGGCACCGAAGCUUCGGGAUCCGUCUCGUACGGAUCGGUAGGGGAGCGUUCCCGGAUGGGAUGAAGGUGUGUCGGAAGGCAUGCUGGACUAACGGGAAGUGAUUAUGCUGGCAUGAGUAACGUUAAAACGGGUGGAAAACCCGUUCGCCGUAAGCCUAAGGUUUCCUGGGUAAAGUUAAUCUUCCCAGGGUAAGUCGGUCCCUAAGGCGAGGCCGAAAGGCGUAGUUGAUGGGAAGCAGGUUAAUAUUCCUGCACUUGUAUGCGAGCGCGAUGGAGGGACGCAGGAGGGUAGACCGUCCGGGUGUUGGACAUCCCGGUGCAAGCCUGUAGGCCGGAGGCGUUGUCAAAUGCGCGCUUCCAAGGCCGAGAGGUGAUGCCGUGACUUUACAGUCUGAAGCGGUUGAUCCCAUGCUGCCAAGAAAAGCUUCUAAGUAUAUCGCAUGCAAACCGUACCGCAAACCGACACAGGUAGGCGGGUCGAGCAGACCAAGGCGCUUGAGAGAACUCUGGUUAAGGAACUCGGCAAAAUGACCCCGUAAGUUCGCGAUAAGGGGUGCUUUCCUGGGUGAAAAAACUUGCUUUUGUAGCCCGGGUGAGCCGCAGAGAAUCGGGGGUGGCGACUGUUUACUAAAAACACAGGUCUGUGCGAAGUCGCAAGACGACGUAUACGGACUGACGCCUGCCCGGUGCCGGAAGGUUAAGGGGUGAGGUCAGCCGCAAGGCGAAGCCUUAAACCGAAGCCCCGGUAAACGGCGGCCGUAACUAUAACGGUCCUANCUAAGGUAGCGAAAUUCCUUGUCGGGUAAGUUCCGACCUGCACGAAUGGCGUAACGAUCUCCCCGCUGUCUCAACCAGAGACUCAGUGAAAUUGAAUUCCGGGUGAAAAUGCCCGGUACCCGCAGUUAGACGGAAAGACCCUGUGCACCUUUACUACAACUUGGCAUUGGCUUUUGGGUUACCAUGUGUAGGAUAGGUGGGAGGCUGUGAAGUCGGUACGCCAGUAUCGGCGGAGCCAACCUUGAAAUACCACCCUUGGUUGCCUAGAAAUCUAAGUCCGCGCCGUGAUCCGGCCGGAUGACAGUGCCUGGUGGGUAGUUUGACUGGGGCGGUCGCCUCCCAAAUANGGUAAGUUCCGACCUGCACGAAUGGAGUAACGAUCUCCGCGCUGUCUCGACCAGAGACUCAGUGAAAUUGAUGUGGCGGUGAAAAUGCCGUCUACCCGCGGAAAGACGGAAAGACCCUGUGCACCUUUACUACAGCUUGACAUUGGAGCUUGGGCAACCAUGUGUAGGAUAGGUGGGAGGCUUCGAAGCCGGCGCGCCAGCGUCGGUGGAGCCACCCUUGAAAUACCACCCUUGGUUGUCUAAGCUUCUAACCCGACGCCGUCAUCCGGCUUGGGGACAUUGUCUGGCGGGUAGUUUGACUGGGGCGGUCGCCUCCCAAAAAGUAACGGAGGCAUGCAAAGGUUCCCUCAGGCUGAUUGGAAACCAGCCGUCGAGUGCAAAGGCAUAAGGGAGCUUGACUGUGAGAGAGACAUCUCGAGCAGGGACGAAAGUCGGUCUUAGUGAUCCGGUGGUCCCGAGUGGAAGGGCCAUCGCUCAUAGGAUAAAAGGUACGCCGGGGAUAACAGGCUGAUCGCAUCCNCAUAAGGGAGCUUGACUGUGAGAGAGACAUCUCGAUCAGGCACGAAAGUGGGCCUUAGUGAUCCGGUGGUCCCGUAUGGAAGGGCCAUCGCUCAUUGGAUAAAAGGUACGCCGGGGAUAACAGGCUGAUCGCA